AAGUCGAGCGAACAGACGAGGAGCUURCUCCUCUUGACGUUAGCGGCGGACGGGUGAGUAACACGUGGAUAACCUACCUAUAAGACUGGGAUAACUUCGGGAAACCGGAGCUAAUACCGGAUAACAUGUUGAACCGCAUGGUUCAMAGUUGAAAGACGGUCUUGCUGUCACUUAUAGAUGGAUCCGCGCCGCAUUAGCUAGUUGGUAAGGUAACGGCUUACCAAGGCAACGAUGCGUAGCGACCUGAGAGGGUGAUCGGCCACACUGGAACUGAGACACGGUCCAGACUCCUACGGGAGGCAGCAGUAGGGAAUCUUCCGCAAUGGGCGAAAGCUGACGGAGCAACGCCGCGUGAGUUAAGAAGGUCUUCGGAUCGUAAAACUCUGUUAUUAGGGAAGAACAAAUGUGUAAGUAACUAUGCACGUCUUGACGGUACCUAAUCAGAAAGCCACGGCUAACUACGUGCCAACAGCCGCGGUAAUACGUAGGUGGCAAGCGUUAUCCGGAAUUAUUKGGCGUAAAGCGCGCSURGGCGGUUUUUUUAAGUCUUAAUGUGAAAGCCCACGGGUBAACCGUUG
rnacentral:rRNA from 1 species